GAAGCUGCCUCCCAGCAGCAGGAUGUGGUGGUGCGACACGUCCUCGCUCAACAACACCCACUUCCUAUGAGAAACAGCCCUGUGGUUUCACUCUCCUCCUGGUCGUCAAACAGAGCCUCAGCGAGAGACCGAGAGGGAUGAGCACGAGAAUGCCCUCAAAUCAUAACAAGAAUUAGAGGAGGAUAUCAAGAUGUCACAUUUGUUUUAGAGCGAAUGAUGUAAGUGGGUCUGAGUUAUGUCUGCCACUGGACAGUUAUGUUCCACGUUAUGACCGCCUGUGCAUCUCUAAAGGUUGAUGAUACAAUGCCAGUAAAGAUUUAGACUGCUGCUGGAGUCUCUUCUCUUCUCUCGUCUUCUCUUUUCUGCAUGGUUGCAUGGGCACAUAUGGUCCUGUCAGUCACAUGUGUGAGCUGUCAGGAUAUGAAUGUGCAUGCAUCUGAGGGAAGACUGAGGGGUGUAUUAGGCCUGCUGAUCCUUCACACUCCUCUUGUCAAACUUUACAUGAAAAUGAAAGUCAGUGAGAGAGAGAACGGGUGCAUGUGUGAGUGAGUGUCUGUGUGUGUGUGUGUGUGUGUGUGUGUGUGCGCGUGUGUGUGAGUGUGUGAGUGUGUGCGUGUGUGUGUGUGUGUUUGUGUGUGUGAGGCAGGGAGGGAGGGUCAAAGGAGAGGAGCCGUGCCUAAUCCUGUGGGAUGUGAGGGUAUAUGUAUGGAGAUAGGAUGUAGAGAUGUGUUCAACGGUGCAUGGAUCACAAAACCUUCCUAACUGACAGAAGAGACUCCCAAGAGACUAAUGUCAAAAAAAGGCAAACUGUCUGGAACAUAACAGUACUGCAAAUUGCAUCAAAACUGUGAAAUGUUACAGGACUUUGAGAACAGAGAUUAGUGUUUUGGUUCUGUCAUUAAUUAGGAAAACAGACAGAGUUCACUAUGAUUUUUUUUUUACUGUAUUAAAAUCCCAGUAUUAAUAUUCGUAUUUGUCGUAAAAAGAAACCCUAUUUGAUAUAUGUGAUAUGAUAUAUAUAAUAAACCUGCUACACAA